rnacentral:rRNA from 1 species
UACAGAGGGUGCAAGCGUUAUUCGGAAUUAUUGGGCAUAAAGCGCAUGUAGGUGGUUUAGUAAGUUUGAUGUGAAAGCCCCGGACUCAAUUCGGGAAGUGCAUUGAAUACUGCUAGGCUAGAGUAUGGGAGAGGUGAGCGGAAUUCCAGGUGUAGAGGUGAAAUUCGUAAGAUAUCGUGAGGAACAACAGAGGCGAAGGCGGCUCACUGGACCAUUACUGACACUGAGAUGCGAAAGCGUGGGGAGCAAACAGG